UGGCUUGGGUUGGAAGGGGUCACAAGGUGAUCCUUGAUCCUUGAUCAAGCUCCAACCCCUUACCUUCACCAGACUUUUAGAGGAUCCAGGGCAUCAAGAUCAAAUAUUGAGAAUAGGACUUUGCUUGUGAAGUCUUCAGAGCAGUAACAGCUCCUCAGGCCAGCAGAGUUGAGGAUUUCUGCCCUGCACACAUUAGAGCUCAAAGAAGAAGAUGGAGAUGACAUUAGAAGGGAAGCGGAUGUGUAAGAACAACUUCUAGGACCCUGUUGCCCCAAGACAAAUUCAGUACGCUCACUCAAAGAAUUUUAGGAGAAUAGAUAGGUAAAGAAUGUAUUUUAUUUUGAGUCUACUUAUGUAUUUUUAAUUGGUCCCUGCAAAUGUCUUG
ensembl:lncRNA